rnacentral:rRNA from 1 species
AUUGAACGCUGGCGGCAUGCCUUACACAUGCAAGUCGAACGGUAACAGGUCUUCGGAUGCUGACGAGUGGCGCACGGGUGAGUAAUACAUCGGAACGUGCCCGAUCGUGGGGGAUAACGAGGCGAAAGCUUUGCUAAUACCGCAUACGAUCUACGGAUGAAAUCGGGGGAUCUUCGGACCUCGCGCGGACGGAGCGGCCGAUGGCAGAUUAGGUAGUUGGUGGGAUAAAAGCUUACCAAGCCGACGAUCUGUAGCUGGUCUGAGAGGAUGAUCAGCCACACUGGGACUGAGACACGGCCCAGACUCCUACGGGAGGCAGCAGUGGGGAAUUUUGGACAAUGGGCGAAAGCCUGAUCCAGCCAUGCCGCGUGCAGGAUGAAGGCCUUUGGGUUGUAAACUGCUUUUGUACGGAACGAAAAGCCUCUUUCUAAUAAAGAGGGGUCAUGACGGUACCGUAAGAAUAAGCACCGGCUAACUACGUG